rnacentral:rRNA from 1 species
UACGUAGGCAGCAAGCGUUGUUCGGAAUUACUGGGCGUAAAGAGUGUGUAGGCGGUGCUCCAAGUCUGGUGUGAAAAUCUCCCGGGCUUAACCUGGGAGGGUGCAUUAGAAACGUGGAAUGCUAGAGGAGUGGGAGAAGGUAAGGCGGAAUUCCUGGUGUAGCGGUGAAAUGCGUAGACUAUCAGGAGGAACACCUGUGGUGUAGACAGCUUACUGGACCAUU